UACAGAGGGUGCGAGCGUUGUCCGGAUUCAUUGGGCGUAAAGCGCGCGUAGGCGGCUCGGAAAGUCGGUCGUGAAAUGCCGGGGCUCAACCCCGGGACUGCGUCCGAUACUCCCGAGCUGGAGGCAGGUAGGGGAGAUCGGAAUUCCUGGUGUAGCGGUGAAAUGCGCAGAUAUCAGGAGGAACACCGGUGGCGAAGGCGGAUCUCUGGGCCUUGCCUGACGCUGAGGCGCGAAAGCUAGGGGAGCGAACAGG
rnacentral:rRNA from 1 species